rnacentral:rRNA from 1 species
UUGAANUGGGCGCAGCCUGAUCCAGCAAUGCCGCGUGAGUGAUGACGGCCUUAGGGUUGUAAAGCUCUUUCGGCGGGGACGAUGAUGACGGUACCCGCAGAAGAAGCCCCGGCUAACUUCGUGCCAGCAGCCGCGGUAAUACGAAGGGGGCAAGCGUUGUUCGGAAUUACUGGGCGUAAAGGGCGCGCAGGCGGCCUAUCAAGUCAGAUGUGAAAGCCCCGGGCUCAACCUGGGAAUAGCAUUUGGGACUGUUAGGCUAGAGAUCGGGAGAGGAGAGUGGAAUUCCCAGUGUAGAGGUGAAAUUCGUAGAUAUUGGGAAGAACACCGGUGGCGAAGGCGGCUCUCUGGACCGAUACUGACGCUGAGGCGCGAAAGCGUGGGGAGCAAACAGGAUUAGAUACCCUGGUAGUCCACGCCGUAAACGAUGUGUGCUAGACGUUGGGAGACCUAGUCUUUCGGUGUCGCAGCUAACGCGAUAAGCACACCGCCUGGGGAGUACGGCCGCAAGGUUAAAACUCAAAGAAAUUGACGGA